GUUUCGUUAUUACGGGCGGUGAUACUCUCUUUUUAAUAUUUUUUUUCGACCACAAUGAAAAUGAUGGAAAAUACAACUGUUACUUUCACUGCAAACAACAUAAAAAUUUCUACUAUAAAAAAAUUAUUUAUUACACCAAAGCAAAGACUAUAAUAUCCAACUGACCAUCGAGCCCUUUUUAAAAACACGUAUGUAUAUGAGUGUGUGUCAAAUUUAAUUAUUUGGCAUUCAGAGACGGUAUUGAUUUUGAAAUUCCACGCAAACGUGAGAGUUCUAAUAACUUCACUGACACGUCGAGAAUUGAGUAUGGCAACGGUUAAUUAUGUCCCGUGAACACAAAGAAUCAGAUGAAUGUGUCGUUGAUUUUCAAAUUACACGGCUCAAGUAAGUUACAUAAUUUAUACGCAUUAAGAAUUAUGUUUCAAUUUCCACUUUUGAUGG